rnacentral:lncRNA from 1 species
UGUGAUGAUGUCGAUGUUGGACGAGAGUGCAUUAUCAAGGGAGUCUGCAUCUACAUGGGUGAAAAUCCAGAAAACCUUGUGCACGAUUACGCGGGCAUGGAUGGAGACGCCUUCAAUGCUGCUAUUGAAAAAACCUCAGUCGGGAUUUAUAAAAGAGAAUGAGGCAAGUGAGGAAUCUGAGGACAUUGGAGUUGUCCUCGAAGGCAUCAGGUUGUUAAGAGAUUUAGACAAUAUAUCAUUAGCGGUUGCUAUGCUUUUUGGACUGAUGUACGCACUGAACAUCAGCUACCCCGCCGACCUCCGGUACACCUUUGAGGUAGUACAGAAGAUACUCGCGCUGAAAAACCGUCUCUUCCAAUGAACGGGUCAAACACAGCGCUGCCUCUCGGUAAACCUCAGAUGAUCACUGGCCUUAAUUUGUGUUAUUCAUUUCUGUUCCUUAUUUGGUGUAUAAACAUGUGUUGCUCUAGGUAUUCUAGGUUUCUAUUGAUAGUGAUACGUUUAUUUUUUGUGUGUUGAGCCACUGCUGUGAUAGUAUCCAGUUUGUGUGUUCAGCCACUGCUGUUGAUGGUAUCCAGUUUGUGUGUUCAGCCACUGCUGUUGAUGGUAUACAGUUUGUGUGUUCAGCCAGUGCUGUUGAUGGUAUCCAGUUUGUGUGUUCAGCCAGUGCUGUUGAUGGUUAUCCUGUUUAGUGGAAGAGGCAAUGUGCUUGUUACUAUGUGAAUGGAUCUGCACUCCAUAUUUUGUACGGAAGCAAGUGUAUGUUUGUGAAUUACCAUAAUGUAUAGCUGUUGGCUAAUGACAUGUUGCAACACAAAGGGAGAGCGGUAAAAAAAUGGGCCAGAAAUUCCCAGUAUAUUGCCUUAUGUUCAGUCAGGGCCACUUCUGAUAACUUUGACUGUUCUAGGCAAAUACAUUUUUAUAUUGAGACAGCGAAAACAGUAAAUGUGGUAUUUGACAGUGAAUCCGCUGCUGUUGAUGCAGGGUAUCCAGUUUGAAUCUUACAUCUGUUUACGGCAACUGCACAGAUUUGUCUGUUUUCCUGAAUGUUUUAAAGCUCAAUACAGAAAAUUUGAGUACAAAUGACUGACUUUUUCUCCUGUAUUUUGUAUUUCCACACACUAAAUCAUGAAAUUGAUCUAUAAAAUACAUUUGGAUAGCUUAUUUGAACAAAUCAAGUUAGAUUUAUAUACCUAAAUUGGAUACCAGAGACAUUAUCAAAUUGCCUUAAAAAGUUACAUAAAUAGUGGAUAAUAUAAGCAUUAAGAAAUAAAGUUGGAGUUAUAGUUGAAAAUCUGGUACCCCUAUGAUGCAAUCAUUUUAACAUUACACUGUAAAAAAUAAAAAGUUAAUUCAACUUGAAAUUUCAAGGCAACUGUCUGCACAGAAUUUUUGGGUUUUCAUGUCAACUCAAACAUCACAGUUGUGCCAACUUAAUUCUUACAGUUGUACCAACUAAUUCCUUUAUUUUGAGGCAACUAGAUU